AAUUAAAUUUAAUAUUGAGUGGACAUGGGGUGGUACUGUGUAAUUUUUGACCCAUAGUACGGCCCAUGUUGGCUCAGUAAUAAAUUACAUU
rnacentral:pre_miRNA from 1 species